UAAUUUUGUAUGGAAAAAAUGUGGAUUUGAGCAUGAGAAUGGAUGAUAUAGCUGUGUUGGUUAGUUUCCCUUUGAUUUUGGUAUCUUCUCAUUGUUGCCAUAAAAGGAUCAUCUGGAAUUUGACUAGUAGACAACAUGAAAACCCUAGGCUAGAACAACAGAUGAAAUGAUUCUGAUGGAUCCUAAUGUGAGUGGAUAUGGCGCCGCUUCACUAUUCUCUAAAGCAGUAUGGAAUUGGAUGAAUCCAUUGCUUAGUAAAGGAUAUCAAUCCCCUUUAAAGUUAGAUGAAGUGCCUUCUCUCCCACCUGGUUUUCGAGCUGAAAGAUUGGCUGAUUUCUUCGAAAAGAAUUGGCCUAAGCCAGGUGAAAAUGUGAAGUAUCCUGUACUAAUGACAUUAAUCAGAUGUUUCUGGAGAGACAUUGUUAUAAUUAGUGUCCUUGCAAUAGUGCAGUUAGCUGUUAUGUAUGUUGGACCAGUUCUUAUCCAAAGUUUCAUUAGUUUUGUUUCUGGGGAUAGAACUACAAACCCCUAUGAGGGCUAUUACCUAGUCUUGAUCCUGUUUGUUUCGAAAGUAAUAGAAGUUCUUAGUGCACAUCACUUCAAUUUCAAAUCUGAGUUACUCGGGAUGAAGAUUCGGUCAUCUCUUAUCACUACUUUAUACAAGAAAGGUCUAAGAUUGACUUGUUCCUCUAGACAAGCUCAUGGUGUAGGACAAAUAGUGAAUUACAUGGCCGUUGAUUCCCAACAGCUUUCCGAUAUGAUGCUACAGCUGCAUUCGCUUUGGAUGAUGCCAUUACAACUUGCAGCUUCAUUACUUCUCUUGUACUAUUACAUGGGUGUUUCUAUGUUUGCUGCGUUUGGUUUAAUUGUUGGAUCUAUGAUCUGCACAUUGUAUAUUACACGCAAGAACAAUCGAUUCCAAUUUCAAUUGAUGAUGAAACGCGAUUCAAGGAUGAAGGCUAUAAAUGAACUGUUGGGAAACAUGCGCGUCAUCAAGUUUCAAGCAUGGGAAGAACACUUCAAAGUAAAAGAUUCAAUCGUUACGUAAUGAGGAAUUCAGUUGGCUUAGUAAGUUCACGUACUUGCUUUCUUGCAACUUGUCACUGCUAUGGAGUUUGCCACCGGUCAUAGCAGCUCUUACAUUUUUAGCUGCAAUUCUUUGCAAAAUCCCUCUAGAUGCUGCCACAGUAUUCACAGCAACAACAGUUUUCAGAAUUUUACAGGAUCCAAUCAGAACCUUCCCCCAAUCCCUUAUGUCAGAGAAUAACACAUAUAUCUUUGUGCAGGUUCGGUAUAGGUCCAAUACUCCACUUGUUCUGAAAGGAAUAUCCCUUAGCAUCAACGGAGGAGAAAAAAUUGGCAUCGUUGGGCGCACUGGAAGUGGGAAGUCUACUCUGAUACAAGUUUUCUUUAGGCUAGUGGAACCUUCAGCUGGAACCAUCAUAAUUGAUGGUGUUGACAUUUGCAAGUUAGGACUUCAUGAUCUUAGAUCACGCUUCGGCAUCAUCCCUCAAGAACCAGUCCUAUUUCAAGGGACAGUAAGAAGCAAUAUUGAUCCCCUAGAACAGUAUUCAGAUGAUGAAAUAUGGAAGAGUCUUGAACGCUGCCAAUUAAAAGAUGUGGUAGCAGCCAAACCUGAGAAACUCGACGCGUCAGUGGUAGAUAGUGGAGAGAACUGGAGUGUUGGACAAAGACAGCUCCUUUGCUUAGGGAGAGUCAUGCUCAAGAACAGUAAAAUUCUUUUCAUGGAUGAAGCAACGGCUUCUGUUGAUUCCCAAACUGAUGCUGUCAUCCAAAAGAUCAUUCGUGAGGACUUUGCAGCCUGCACUAUUAUCACCAUUGCUCACCGAAUACCAACUGUCAUAGACUGUGACCGCGUUCUUGUUAUAGAUGAUGGAUGGGCAAAGGAAUAUGACAGACCAGCUACCUUACUUGAAAGGCCAUCAAUAUUUGCAGCAUUGGUUCAAGAGUAUUCCAUCAGAUCAACAGGUCUAUGAGAAAGAGUACUUCAACUUUGGAAAUUUGAAUCCAAAUCAGCAGAAAGUGAUAUGAUAUUUUCUAUGUCAAAAUCCUCCCCAUGUAACAUGAUAUUUUUCUCAUAUCCAAAUUUUGUAGUCGAAUUGUUUUUAGAUGAAUGACCAUGUAACACAUUAUUAUUCUCGACUACUGUGUUAUUUGUUA